rnacentral:lncRNA from 1 species
GGAAAACAAAGAUUCCAACCAUUUGGGACCCCUGAAUCAUCCCGCUGAGAGGUGAUCAGUCCCAGUCUGCUAACGAGCUCAAAGGCCCAGUCCAGGGUUUGGGCUGGAGAGAAAUGCGUGAAUCCAAGAGUCAGGGAUGCAAGAUGCCAUGCUGUAAAGAUCUGAAAGACAGAGCUGCAGAGCCAGCGUUCAUCAUGACUCAGUUGCCCACCCAAGAGCUCUGAUGAGGAAUGGCCACACUACUAAAGACCGACACA